rnacentral:tRNA from 1 species
CCUGAUAGCUCAGUUGGUUAAGAAUCUGCCUGCAAUGCAGGAGACCCUGGUUCAAUUCCUGGGUCAGGA